rnacentral:rRNA from 1 species
AACGAACGCUGGCGGCAGGCCUAACACAUGCAAGUCGAACGCUCCGCAAGGGAGUGGCGCACGGGUGAGUAACACGUGGGACCUACCUUCUGGUACGGAACAACCAAGGGAAACUUUGGCUAAGACCGUAUACGACCUCCGGGUGAAGAUUGAUCGCCGGAAGAGGGGCCCGCGUCCGAUUAGGUAGUUGGUGAGGUAACGGCUCACCAAGCCUUCGACCGGUAGCUGGUCUGAGAGGAUGACCAGCCACACUGGGACUGAGACACGGCCCAGACUCCUA